rnacentral:rRNA from 1 species
AGUGAACGCUGGCGGUAGGCCUAACACAUGCAAGUCGAACGGCAGCACAGUAAGAGCUUGCUCUUACGGGUGGCGAGUGGCGGACGGGUGAGGAAUACAUCGGAAUCUACUUUUUCGUGGGGGAUAACGUAGGGAAACUUACGCUAAUACCGCAUACGACCUACGGGUGAAAGCAGGGGAUCUUCGGACCUUGCGCGAUUGAAUGAGCCGAUUUCGGAUUAGCUAGUUGGCGAGGUAAAGGCCCACCAAGGCGACGAUGCGUAGCUGAUCUGAGAGGAUGAUCGGACGAAAUGGAACUGAGAAACGGUCGAGAGUCCUACGGGAGGAAGCAGUAGGGAAUAGUACGCAAUGGGCGAAAGCCUGACGGAGCAACGCCGCGUGAGUGAAGAAGGUCUUCGGAUCGUAAAACGCUGUUAUUAGGGAAGAACAAAUGUGUAAGUAACUAUGCACGUCUUGACGGUACCUAAUCAGAAAGCCACGGCUAACUACGUG